CUUGAUUCCUGACUGUUAUCCAAGACUAGUUUCCAAGCCUCCUUUGGAUUCAGUUCUAGGAUGACUAUCAUCAACUGCUGGAAUGAGACAAAUCCAGUGGAAAUUCACGUGAGCUGUGCCAGUUCCAGGACUGACAAUGUACUCUGUGGAUGAGAACAGAGGUACUGUGGCUGGCUCUCACAGCAUCCCUGGCAGAGCUGAAUCACCUAAAGCCACGUGCAGAACAACUAUCUCCUCUGCACCUGUACCAGUACUCCCAUG